rnacentral:sRNA from 1 species
GCUCUCUGCCAUUUUUUGAUGGGGGUUGGUGAGGGCGUCUGACCUGAAGGAGGAGGCCAGAUGCAGCUAUUUAUAAAGUUUUCAGGGAAUAGAGAUCUCAAGAGAAGAUUGCAUGUCCUUGCUGUCCCCCUGGCCGCCAGUGGUCACUGAGCCAUCUUCUCCCCAUUUCCCAGGUAUGAUCGGGUACGGCAUGGCCAAGGCUGCUGUUCACCAGCUCUGCCAGAGCCUGGCUGGGAAGAACAGCGGCAUGCCGCCCGGGGCAGCCGCCAUCGCUGUGCUCCCGGUUACCCUGGAUACCCCGAUGAACAGGAAAUCAAUGCCUGAGGCUGACUUCAGCUCCUGGACACCCUUAGAAUUCCUAGUUGAAACUUUCCAUGACUGGAUCACAGGGAAAAACCGACCGAGCUCAGGAAGCCUAAUGCAGGUGGUAACCACAGAAGGAAGGACGGAACUCACCCCAGCAUAUUUUUAGGCCUCAUCUCAGUGCCUGUGAGGGGCCUGCCAGAAAAGUCACUAACCUAUCUCAGUGUGGCCUUGUCCAGCCUUGUGUUUUCUGUAACCCCUGUUUGUGGUACGAGAUAAUGAGUCCUAUUUUUCUCUCACAUAAUAUGCAUUUGCUCUCCUAGGACAGUGUAAUACAUUUAUGUGAAGUAAAGACAUAAGAGACUGGUGGCCUGCAAAUAGCAUCCGUCAAUCUGUGUUAACUGCAUAGGGAGGGCUCUGCAUAGCACCUGCUAUAGCGGUGUCAUGUUGGAUCGCUUUUGAGACUGUUCAUCUGUCCUUGACAGUGGCUGUCAUCUUGA